ACAAAACAAAAAUGAAACUUACCUGCCAGCAUCCUGAUCGUCAGCAGGAUGCCUGGGAGGAGGAUGUUAUCAGCCAGCACUGGGAGCAUCCACUGCACCUGAGGAAAAGAGAGACUUGCAAAUAGCUAAUUGGAACUGACCUGAUUAAAAGGAUCAAGGAUUGAAACAAACAGCCCCCUGAAAGGGGAACUAGGAGCCAUAGCAGAGAGAGAAAGAGCAAUGGAAUAGUUUUGUGUGAAGGCAUGAGAAAAGACAGAGGGCAGCAUCCCUUGGGAGGCGAGUACCGAGGAGUGACCUGGGGGAUCACGACUGAAGAUGGUUUGGUAUAUCCUCAGACAGAUGCAAACGUUAGCUGCAAAACUUGGCUGGAUUCUGAACAACGUACAUUUGGGAGAUUUUCAUCAGGCUACAUCUCAGCAUAUAAUAAAAGAUAAAUGGAAAUGAAUAUGAGUAAUAUGAUGAAGCAGGGCAUAAGGGUUGUCUACAUGUAUUUGAAGGUUGUAAACACAAUGAGUCCUGGCUGUCAGAAAAUGAUCUGAGUAGGAUCAAAACUCAGAAGCACUGUCUACUGGCACUUCAGAGAUCAGAGCCACAGUCAGUGGGGUUUUGCUGCCAGCUAUGAUGGAGGGUAAGAAUGAGAGAGGCGAGGAGUGAAAGCUGAUCAUUUCCACAUUGAAGUCAAUAAGAGUUUUGCCACUGACUUCAAUAGAAGCAGCAGCAGGGUAAAAUGCGCAACUGAGGAGAGAAUAUUCAAAAAAGUGUACUUCAACAGGAAAGAGAAGCACAGAAACAGAGCAUCGAACAGGGAAGAAAACAGUUGGAGAGAAGGUAAACUGCACAAAGGUGGAAAACAAACAAAAAGCCCAGAAUUAGUCUUGUGAAAGCCCUAUGUAAAUGUGAACAUUUUUUUUCUUUUAAAAAACUAAACCAGUCUGUUUUAAUUGUUAUUUACUGCUACUCUGAAAAGUAGUUUCUUAAACCAAAGCCUCAUGUCUAUGUUAUUUUCUUUCAGUAAAUGGAGUUUGACUAUUCACCUGUCUAGGUCACUGAAGGACCUGUACCAUUGUAAUACAUUUAUCUCCAACUGCCUGAAGAAUGUAGUUAGAACCAAGUUUUAUCAUUUAAUAAGGCAUAAAUUAUGUUUCAUUCGAAGAAAAACAUGGCAUUCAUCUUGCAUUUUUUUUCCAUCUGAAACAGCGCAAAAAGCAGCUGCAAAAAAGAAACAACUUUCUCCAAGCUAAAUACUUUUUUGAAAGUAUUGGUUCCUUUGAGUGUUUCAUUUAGAUUCACUCCAAAUAAAUAGAACAGGGGGGUGAUAUUGCAUGCUUUGAGGUCAAGGCACAGGCUUAUUUAAUAAUUUUUCCUGAUGCAGCCAGCGAGUUUCUAGCUGGUUCUAGGGGAAGCCUGCUUUUUUUUUUUU